GAUGAACGCUGGCGGCGUGCCUAAUACAUGCAAGUCGAGCGAACAGACGAGGAGCUUGCUCCUCUGACGUUAGCGGCGGACGGGUGAGUAACACGUGGAUAACCUACCUAUAAGACUGGGAUAACUUCGGGAAACCGGAGCUAAUACCGGAUAAUAUAUUGAACCGCAUGGUUCAAUAGUGAAAGACGGUUUUGCUGUCACUAAUAGAUGGAUCCGCGCCGCAUUAGCUAGUUGGUAAGGUAACGGCUUACCAAGGCAACGAUGCGUAGCCGAACUGAGAGGGUGAUCGGCCACACUGGAGCUGAGACACGGUCCAGACUCCUACGGGAGGCAGCAGUAGGGAAUCUUCCGCAGUGGGCGAAAGCCUGACGGAGCAACGCCGCGUGAGUGAUGAAGGUCUUCGGAUCGUAAAACUCUGUUAUUAGGGAAGAACAAAUGUGUAAGUAACUAUGCACGUCUUGACGGUACCUAAUCAGAAAGCCACGGCUAACUACGUG
rnacentral:rRNA from 1 species